GACAGAGGAUGCAAGCGUUAUCCGGAAUGAUUGGGCGUAAAGCGUCUGUAGGUGGCUUUUCAAGUCCGCCGUCAAAUCCCAGGGCUCAACCCUGGACAGGCGGUGGAAACUGCCAAGCUGGAGUACGGUAGGGGCAGAGGGAAUUUCCGGUGGAGCGGUGAAAUGCGUAGAUAUCUGGAGGAACACCGGUGGCGAAGGCGGCAUCCUGGACCGACACUGACGCUGAGGAGCGAAAGCCAGGGGAGCAAACGGG
rnacentral:rRNA from 1 species